AAACAGUAACAAAUCCCUACAAGCUUUUUUUUUUUCAUUGUGUGAUCUUCACUGUUCCAAUGGAGACUCUUUUUCAGAUUCCCGAUAGGUUGUCUUUUCAGUUCUUGUUCAGACUACUUUUGCAGUACCUUUCUCCUUCCCUGUUUCAUUUUAGUCACUAUAGGGCUGAAAUUUGAAAAAAAUAUGAAGUUGCUGCUUUUAAAAAAAAAACAAAACCCAGAUCAGGUUGAAGCAAUCAAGGCACAGCCAAUGAGGAACCGCGCUUAGCUACUAUAAAGGGGAAAUGCCUGCCCACCCAUGAAGGGAGUUUGCAGUAGGAGUUCUGGACAGAGCUGUGUUGAUGCAUCUUCUUCGUAUGCUUCGGUCUUUAAAACAAGAGCAAAGAAACUUUGGAGGUGUGGGGAACUCAUCACCUGCAAUUAUCACAAUCAUCUCUGCUUGUAACCUUUCCUUCUCAAAGAGCUGGAAACAGAAACAUGAAGAAAGCAUUCUGAAGCAUUGGUGGAGUAGCCUGGCUUGUUGAAUGAAGUACAUAAAAUCCAUGCUUCUAUCUCGAUACUGAAAGGUGUCCCUCACUUCAGUUCUCAUUCUGUAACACUGAAGGACAGUGGGAAGCAACCUGUUACAUCUUUUUCAGACCAUCCAUACAGCAUUGUCUUGAGAACAACUUGAACAUUUCGUUACUGUUAUCUGUGUCGAAAUCUCCAGAUCACCCCAAACCUCAUAUACUUGCAUAAAAUAAGUGGUGACAGAGGGAAGAGACUGAGAAUUCAGGUGGAGAGAAGAGAGGCAGUUCUCUAGAGUGAGAGAUACGGUUCUAUGGCCAGUGUGGAAAAAAAAAAAAAAAAAAAAAAACAGAAAAUAAAAUUUUCCUCCUAUCUCUGUUCCACUCUCAUUUUAAUACAUCUUCAGACUAAAGCAGUGACAUCUCAUUUUCGACUGAAGACGUUUGGAAAUGGAUCUCCUAAAAAGAUGUCAGCAAACAGGCAAAUAAACACAGAAUGCAUAUCUAAGCUAUUGGAUGUUUACAAAAGGUACUGCAGAAGGGAAAAUGUACCAGAUGAAAUGGAAAUUAUUUCAUGAAUCACCUCACGAUUUCACAGAAAUAAGGGAAGUAUUAUUACUGAUUAUUCUCCAUAAAACAAGUUUAAAAACAUACCAUCGUCUAAAAAGGAAAAGUGAAAGGUUUCUAAAUUGGAUAUUUCAAUAUUGCUAAUGAGAACGAAGUGAGCUGAUGAAUGUUGAAUCAUUCCUUGACAGUUUUUAAACAAAUAUUAUCAUUCAUUCUCUUUCCUGCAUCGACAGAUGAUGUUUCUUGUUCAAAUGAGGCUUCCUGACUUUUGAUAAAGGCUGCUGAAAAUAGCACUCCCCUUCCCAAGCUGUAUAUUCACCUCUAGCAUAUACUGACAUACUGACAGGGAAUGAAAAUUUGGGAUGCUCUGCAGUGUUCUGCCCUUUCAUGAAGGGUUUGUCUUGUGUGUGAAGUAUGAUGUACACCAUGGUAUCACUAUAUCACAUUACCCGGUGAUGAAUUUAGAAGCUGCCACUGCUGUCUAAUUCAGCAAUCCAUUUUGAAAUUGAGUAGCCUCUUCUCUCCCUUAAAAGUAGGGCAUCAUUAAAUUAAAGUAACCUAUUGUGUGCAGCAGACUAGGCAAGAAGUGGGUGAUGUUCUCCUGCCUUCAGCUGUCUGUCCCUGCCUGCUGGCUGCUUUCAAACGGAGGAGACAAGUCUGAUGGGCUGCUUAAACUCGUUCCUUCACUUCCCUCCAUUCUUAGCCUCCACGGAGGGCAGACUUGGGACUGUAAAGAACAGCUGCUUACCUCACUGAUGCUUUAUAUACUGAUUUAAGUGUGUAUAUGCUCACUUUUAUAUCUUGUUUAUUCAUUACUGUGGAAGGCUAUAAGAAGUUGGAGGUGAGGAGAUGCUUUCCUGCAGGGGGAAAGUUGCAAGGUACAAGACUGAAAAUGGAUUUUGGAUUUGUGGAGCAGGCUGUGUGUAAGCAAAUGCACUUGGAUUCCGUGCUGGCUUUCUCCCGUUACACAGUUUUUGCAUUGUUCUUGAUCAAAAUGGAUGGAAAAUACUGAGGGUGUUCACUUGGUUUUGCUAUAAUUGCUAUAAACAUUCUAAAUAGUGCUUUGGUUAAUAGUCAGAAGGACAAAUGGGAAGGAAGCCAUCAGGUGGGUAGUCAGGUAGAGACACUUUGUUUGCGUUUACUGUAAGAGCACAUUGGAAAUAUUGUUAAUUUAACAUCAAGCAUCUAAAGAUAGCACCAAUUCUAAUUUCAUCAGCAGGUGUGUGUGAAAAAUCGGCCAAUGUUUUCAAUGUAGAAGUGGAAAAAAAAUAGAAAGCCAGUUAUGUAUUAAUUGUGAUAGAGCACUAUCUGAAUUUGAAGAGCUAGAAAUUCUGCCCAUUUCAUCGAGACUUGACCUAACAUUUCCCCCUGUGAGUAGAAAAUAUUGAUAUAAUGCACAGGAAUCAUUCUGUUUGUGGUGGGUUUUUGUGGUUGGUUGUCCUUUUCUUUCUUUCUUUUUUUUUACUAGCCAUUGCCCAGAUGGCCAGUUAAUUAUCCUUCUGCAGGCAGAAUUAUUUUAUUUAAUGAAUUUUUAAAUGUCAGUGACGUGAAAAACCAUUACUGUGGUUGUAAGUCCAUUACUCACCUUCAGCUUCUAUUUCCCAUCACCCCCCACUUUAGCUUUAAGGAGCAUCUGAAGUGACAGAGCUUUGAUUUCAGUUGAGACUGCUGAGCACAGAAGUCUUACAAGUAAUACAUUAUUAAAAAAUCGUAGCAAGAAAAUUAAUUUCUACUAUCGUAUACCAUGCUGGGUGUAUCACUUCUAACAAAUGACCUUUUUUUUCAUAUAUUCAUUGGUAGAUUUACCAGGACAAAAUAAUUACUUUGUUUUCCACCUCUAAGAAAAAAAAAAAAGUCUUGUGCGUGUGUGGUUUUCUUGUUUUGUUUUUAAUUGAAAUAAGUACACAAAGUGAAUGGGUUCUAUAAGAUAAAAAGAAAAAGGAAAGAAAAAAGAAGGAACUGGAAAACCACACAGAAAUGAGGCACUGGCUCCCUGUCAUGUUGUCUGGUCAGUAAUAUUUCUUACUGUGAAAUUCCUGCAUGUUCGCAUGUUCAUGUUUAAAUCCUCCCAGAGAGAUUUUGCAUUGGAUCCUAGUUGAACUCAAGAAGGUAGAUGGUUAUGCGGUUUCUCAUAUUUCUUGCUUUUGAGAGGAACGUCUGUUUAUCCAGAGAGCCUUAUCUGGGCUUGGCGACGAGCACAUUCCGCAGCCAGAAGAAGGACCAGACAGCUAUACUCUGGACCACCUCAUUUCAGAAUUCUGCUUGAAGCACACUAAAGACUUCAGUGAGACUUUCUGACAGCGUGUGGUAAUGAAACUACCCCAUAAGGAGAUGAAAAACAAGAUAUACUCAAUGGGAGGAGCACAUGCUUGUACUUAAAUUCUUCUGUUUCUCCUUCAGUCAGAUGGGCAAAGGAAAAUGCUGUCCUAUCCCAAGAAAUGCAAAGGCAUAAUCAAGUAUGUCUGUGCCUCUCUUGCCAUUUUGAUAUUGGGAACUCAUCCAGCUGCGAACCAAUAGUCUUAUAUGGAAGAUCAGAACUGCUGCUCCUUCGCUUCUUGAUGUAGGAUCUCUCUAUACACAAGCACUGUGCGCGAGUCUUCCCCUUAAAACUUUGAGCACUGCAUAAAUUCUGCUGGUCAAGAGGCUCAGACUGUGAUUUCAAAAGGAACUCCCGUAUUUGUCAACACGUAGCUGAUGAAUGCUCACAGCUAAGAAGUGGUAUUGUGGAUCCCUUUCAUGACUUAUACCUAUAUUUACUCUGCGUCCAAACCCAACAGCAACACAAUCAGCUCCUUUGACUGCCUUCCAUCCUGGAACCAUCCUAGGCCACGAGUCCCAGCUGAUUCACUGGUGCCCCUUUGGAAACAGCACAAGAAACAAACUGUUACUGCUGUGGAGUUUGCCCAGGGUUUUGCAUGCCACAGGUCUUGCAGCGUGGAAUCAGAGCCUGUCCAGGCACUGGCUGCGCCCCAGAGAGCAUCAGCUGUUACAGAACACAGGCUUCGUAUUUCCAGUCCCUGGCAACACUUACUCCUUUAUUCCAGAGAGAGGUCUCUGUUUCGUUAAAAGCUGGCUCUGGCGAUUCAGGUUUCCUCAUCUCGGAAGAUUUCAGUUACAGGUUUUGAUCUGCCAGCAUCAAAGACAUCCUCCUGUUCAGAGCAUGCCUCAGUGAUCACACAAUAAGAAGCAGAAAAGUUUCAAACACAGCUACUGGUUCCCCAGGAGACCAAAGGCAAUUAAUACCAUGUUUUUCUGCAAGGAGCAAAGCUAAUGAACCCUGAUUUCCUACACAAGACAUUCAUCUUCUACCCAGUCUGUACACUGUUAACCCACUGAGCUACUCCACCUCGCACCUCACCCCACUCCUCCUGCAUCGUACUGUGAGGAACAGCCAAGCAUCCAGCUCCACCUCGUUGCUAACAGCCCCUCCGCAGGGCCCUCAGCCUCCCCUGCGCACAUUCUGUAUUUGGUCCACCGCUUGCCAGACAACUCACGCUGUGGCUAUAUGCAUGCUCAGGGAGCAGCAAACAGCUGCCAGGCAGAGUGAGAAAUGUUUGCACCUCCAACAAAAAGCCCAAGGAGCAAUUUUAGAGAAAACCACUGGAACUUCAUAGCUGUGAGACCACAAAGUUGUCAGGUUUUGCUGUAAUAGUGCAGUAAAUACAGAAGCUGUAAGGAAGCACUGGAGGAGCAAGAACAAACAGUCCAAGUGCAAUUUUUCUCUGAAAACCAGGCAACUAAAAGAACACUGAGGGUCUUCUUCCAUGUCUAAACUAUGACCUUGGCUCAGUCACAUAUUGAUCAGUAUCUGAUACGAACCACCACGGUUGUGACACUGACCAUCAUUACAUUUCCAAUAAAAAAUGUGAAAAAUGGUAGUUUAUUAAUAUCUGGAUCAUGAUGGUUGAGUGCCAUUUUCAUAAAUUAACAAUAUUAAGCUUGAAGAUCAGCAGAAGCUGAUUAGACUGACUCUAAAGAGUCUCCAGAUCAUUUGCUUUCCCUCAAGUGGGUGCUUGAACUGGAUUAUCCUCCCUCAAACAAGCUGGGAGCACACUGAGAGCAAGCCUCUGAGUACAGCUACCCAGUCGCUCGAGGGAUGCAUGCUGUACAGGUU
ensembl:lncRNA